rnacentral:misc_RNA from 1 species
UGGUGUACCUGAAUAAAUAAAGAAAUUUUUAUUGCAUUGACUAGGAAUGGGUUUUAUUUAAUUAUGAUCUUGAAUGUUUGUGUCUUGAGGGAUACAUCAAAUGAUUAAGUAAUUGAACUGCAUUGUUUUGAUUUAAUCUAUGUCUUGUGAGCAUGACAGAAUAGGUGCUUGAUAUGAAUGCCCUGGUAAUUGUCUAAUUUCAAAAAAAAAA